ensembl:lncRNA
CUUCAUCAUUCUUUAAAGGCUGACUGUUUGUGUUUCAGAGCUGUCCAUCAUGAGAUGGAUCUCACUUGUAAAUCCAACCCAGAGAGGCCUGGGAAAAAGUGGCAAAACUUAAAAUACACAAAACCUGCAUCCACUGCGUCCAGCUCCACGGACCAGAUUGAAAGAGGUAACAGCGAGGCUAUGCCCUUGCCAGCAAAUAUACAGUGUAGGAAUUCAGUUUUGGAGUUCCUGGAAAAAGAGUCAGGGAGGCCUGAGGCCAAAGAGAGAAGACCAGAUCACAUGACAUUGUAAAUGUCAUCUCUGUCAGGUGCAGAGGCUGCUGCAGCAAGGUGCUCUCUAAUAUGUUCUCCACACCGAGGGUCUUAGUUUUGUAGCAGAGCAUCAUUGUUGUCAUCUUACACAAGUGCUGCCUCAACUGGCUCAACAGUGUCACCAGUGCUGAGACAUAUUUUGUGAAGAAUUGCACAGCACGUAAUCACAGCAGGGGCAAAACUUGGCUUCACCUCCUAAAAGAUGCUCCGCCACCUUGAUUUCAUGAUCCUAAAAGUCCUCUCAAUGAUGCUUCAUGUCUCUGGAUGUUGGUGGUUGAAUCCAGCUUCUGUUGGACUUGUGACUGGCUCCCUGUCUGGAGUUAUUAGAGAGACUGGCUGAGAUAUACCUGGAUACAAAGCCUACAAAGAUGUCUAAAAGCUUGCCUUUAUGGUCUCAAACUGCUUGGAGCUGAAUCGAGUAAAACAGUUUGUGGUUGAGGCAGCACUGAGCAUCUGUACUAUAGGUAACUCAUUUGGCAGCCAUCAGUGCUACCUACGGAUUAAAAGCUGCCAAUCAUGCGAGGUUUGUGGGAAAUGAAUUACGUGGGCUCUUUUGCUCUCAGUCACAUGGUGAUCAGUGUCAUGGACAGUGGAGAGGGGUAUGUCCAUGCAAUAAAAACCAACACUUCAAGCUCAAGGAUCCAGCCAUAAUCUUUAUGGUCAUGAAGGAAUGAGAAAAGAUUUGUCUGCCUUGUAAGCCUUUAUCUGGUCUCAGACUACAGAAACUGGAUGGGACUGGGAUGUGAUGUUUGCUGCAGCAGUACUGGGUGGGUGGCUGCCCAACCUUUUAUUGUUGAGGGUAUAUAACUCAAAGUGUUUCAAAAUCAUGGAGCAGGUGUACAUCAUGUACACCUAAUACUAAUGCUAGGUCUGAGUUCAUGUAUGUGACUAUAAAUAGCUACUUAAAUGCUUAUGACUAUUUUCAUUCUGCCAUAUAGUUCAGUGAUACACAAGCAGAGAGUGCUAUGGGUUAACUUUACACUUGUUAACUGACACAAGUCAUUGAUGCUGUCUUAAUUUUUUUUACACUUUGUUUUUCUCUCAGUUUUAUAAUCUGAUGGACAGCGGAAGAUACCAUUUCAUACAUUUAUACAAAUAACGUAAGAAGAAAUGGCCUUAGGUUUAAAAAUGAUGUUAAUUGUAAAUACAAAUACUAACCUGUAAUGGGAAAGUUAUUUUUUGUCAUUGAUAGGAGUGCAAGUGCAUACACAUAGAGCCCUGUAUCAUGUAAAAUGCAAAUAUUCAUGAAUACUCACAAACGUACUAUAUUUGCUCCAUGACCUGAUUUAUCCAUGUUUAGUUUAUGUUGGGAAUCAAUAGAAAGUAAAUGCAGUUACCUUCACAUUUAAAACACAGACAUCUUUUUCACCCAGAUUCAACACUGCUGGUGUCAUGAAUAUGUCACAAUGUCUGGUUUGUGUAUCCCUGGGUGUCCACUAGAGGUCUCACUUCCCCAUAUCGUCACCCCACCUCAGGAACUACAUUUCCCACAAGUCUUGUUGGUACUCAUCACUGUUCAUUGUAUUCAGCUGUUCCCACUUACAUUGUUUGCACCUGUCUAUAAAUACCUGGUUUGUUUCUGUCUUUGUUAUGGAGUCCUUGUUUAAUGUCACCCUGCUUUUUCUGGUUCCCUUGUGGAUGGUCGUGUUUCUUGUUUUGGACUGCUUAUCUGGAUUUUGACCUUUG